GACGAACGCUGGCGGCGUGCCUAAUACAUGCAAGUCGAACGCAGUGGGGACGGGUGAGUAACACGUGGGUAACCUCCCAUCAGAGGGGAUAACACUUGGAAACAGGUGCUAAACCGAUACUGUUGGAUGGACCCGCGGUGCAUUGGCUAGUUGGUGAGGUCACGGCUCACCUAGGCGACGAUCCCUAGCUGGUCGGAGAGGAUGAUCAGCCACACUGGGACUGGGACACGGCCCAGAUGCCUACGGGAGGCAGCAGUGGGGAAUAUUGCACAAUGGGCGCAAGCCUGAUGCAGCCAUGCCGCGUGUAUGAAGAAGGCCUUCGGGUUGGAAAGCACUUUAAGUUGGGAGGCGUUACCAACAGAAUAAGCACCGGCUAACUUCGUGCCAGCCGCCGCGGUAAUUC
rnacentral:rRNA from 1 species